CUAAUACAUGCAAGUCGAGCGAAUGAUGAGGAGCUUGCUCCUCUGAUUUAGCGGCGGACGGGUGAGUAACACGUGGGUAAUCUGCCUGUAAGACGGGGAUAACUCCGGGAAACCGGGGCUAAUACCGGAUAAUAAGAGAAGAAGCAUUUCUUCUUUUUGAAAGUCGGUUUCGGCUGACACUUACAGAUGAGCCCGCGGCGCAUUAGCUAGUUGGUGAGGUAACGGCUCACCAAGGCGACGAUGCGUAGCCGACCUGAGAGGGUGAUCGGCCACACUGGGACUGAGACACGGCCCAGACUCCUACGGGAGGCAGCAGUAGGGAAUCUUCGGCAAUGGGCGAAAGCCUGACCGAGCAACGCCGCGUGAGCGAUGAAGGCCUUCGGGUCGUAAAGCUCUGUUGUUAGAGAAGAACAAGUACGAGAGUAACUGCUCGUACCUUGACGGUACCUAACCAGAAAGCCACGGCUAACUACGUGCCAGCAGCCGCGGUAAUACGUAGGUGGCAAGCGUUAUCCGGAAUUAUUGGGCGUAAAGCGCGCGCAGGCGGUCUCUUAAGUCUGAUGUGAAAGCCCACGGCUCAACCGUGGAGGGUCAUUGGAAACUGGGAGACUUGAGUGCAGGAGAGAAAAGUGGAAUUCCACGUGUAGCGGUGAAAUGCGUAGAGAUGUGGAGGAACACCAGUGGCGAAGGCGGCUUUUUGGCCUGUAACUGACGCUGAGGCGCGAAAGCGUGGGGAGCAAACAGGAUUAGAU
rnacentral:rRNA from 1 species